UACGGGGGGAGCAAGCGUUGUUCGGAUUUACUGGGCGUAAAGGGCGCGUAGGCGGCCUGUGCAAGUCAGUUGUGAAAUCUCCGGGCUUAACUCGGAAAGGUCAACUGAUACUGCUCGGCUAGAGUGCAGAAGGGGCAACUGGAAUUCUUGGUGUAGCGGUGAAAUGCGUAGAUAUCAAGAGGAACACCUGCGGCGAAGGCGGGUUGCUGGGCUGACACUGACGCUGAAGCGCGAAAGCUAGGGGAGCGAACGGG
rnacentral:rRNA from 1 species